rnacentral:rRNA from 2 species
GCAUCGAUGAAGAACGCAGCGAAAUGCGAUAAGUAAUGUGAAUUGCAGAAUUCAGUGAAUCAUCGAAUCUUUGAACGCACAUUGCGCCCCCUGGUAUUCCGGGGGGCAUGCCUGUUCGAGCGUCAUUUCACCACUCAAGCCUCGCUUGGUAUUGGGCAACGCGGUCCGCCGCGUGCCUCAAAUCGACCGGCUGGGUCUUCUGUCCCCUAAGCGUUGUGGAAACUAUUCGCUAAAGGGUGUUCGGGAGGCUACGCCGUAAAACAACCCCAUUUCUAAGGUUGACCUCGGAUCAGGUAGGGAUACCCGCUGAACUUAAGCAUAUCAAUAAGCGGAGGA